rnacentral:rRNA from 1 species
UCCGUAGGCGGUGUAGCAAGUCGAUAGUGAAAUCUCUGGGCUUAACUCAGAGGCUGCUAACGAAACUGCUAUGCUAGAGUGUGAGAGAGGCGAGUGGAAUUACGGGUGUAGCGGUGAAAUGCGUAGAUAUCCGUAGGAACAUCCGAGGCGAAGGCGGCUCGCUGGAUCACAACUGACGCUGAGGGACGAAAGCUAGGGGAGCAAACAGGAUUAGAUACCCUGGUAGUCCUAGCCCUAAACCAUCAGGACUUGGGGUUUGCCCCUGUACGGGGCAAGUCCCGUAGCUAACGCGUUAAGUCCUGCGCCUGGGGAGUACGGUCGCAAGGCUAGAA